UGACCCACCCUAGUGGGUCUUGGGGUCCUUCUGUCCUCGUGACCUGAGGAUCGCGUCAGUUUUCAGCGGGAAGAGGCACCGGUUUACCGGUCCGGUGGCUUUUGCUUUGACCGCCUUACUCCAGGAGGGGAACGUUGAGGCAGAAGCUAUGGCUCCAGGGUUGCUGACAACCUGGUCACAGGACUUGGUGACUUUCAAGGAAGUACUGGUGGACUUCUCCCAGGAGGAUGGGCACUGCUGGACCCUGCUCAGAAAAUCCUGUACAGGGAUGAUGUGAUGAUGGAGAACUAAAGGAACUUGGCUUCCGUGGGUGGAGCAGAAGGAGCUGAGGAAUAAGGAGAGGAGAAUUCUCCAAGACACCUGUGAAAGAAGUCCCUUUAGGGAAUUUCUAAAAUGUUAUUUUGUCGGAGAGAUCAUCUCAGCCCACUUUGAAUUAGAAGUCUCAACUUCAACUUAAAAUCAAAGAGACCGCUGCUAAAUAGAAUAAAGUUUGGGAAAAACCAUCUACUGGUAGGAAAAGGGUGAGGCUUUCCAGGGCUCAUUGCUGGUUGUCUGCAGUGGAAGUCUGGGAUUGCCUUGAAGCAGAAGAACAGCACAGCCACAAGGGGAGACACUUGGGGCCAGUGACCUUCACCCAAGAGAAGUCAUGUCUCAGGAGACAGUUUCUGAGUAUUAUUAUCAUGAGUUUGGGGUACAUUCUAAACCAAUUUCAAAAUUUAUUUAUCCAUGGAGAGUUCCCACAGAUAGACAUAUCCACAAGUACUACUCAGAAAGUGAAGAUUGACAUGUAAUUCAGUUUUUGUUUAAGCAAUUAUCAGAAAAAAAUCUGUACCUAAUAAGCUUUAUGAAUGUCAUGACUGUGAUAGAACUUGCAGCAGAGCAUUCACUUUACUCAAUUUGAAAGUUGGAUGGGGUGGGGUCUCAGGGAAUCAUCAGGGGUGUGGUGAAGAGUGUUAACCAGGUUGAUGCAGACUCCCGAUAUGACGCCCACCUGCAUCUGCACCCUGGGAGUGGGGAGAGCUCAAUAAUAGAAGCUCCUCCAUCCAGGAGGAAUAUGCCCCUCCAGCCCUCACCUUGAAGCCAGAUGAUUUAGUUCCUUCUUGUAUGCCCCUGGUGCCUUUAGAGCUGCUGCCCCAUCACGGGAGCUCAGAGUGAGUGAGUCCAUCAGCGGCUAAGUCCAUGUGUGGACCCUUUAAGAGAAGCAACUGCCCUCCUCUCACUUAGCCACAAUCUCCGCUGGUUUUCAAAGCCAGAAGUUAUAAGGACUUCUCUUCCUGGUACUGGUACCCUGGGCUGGGGACCCUAGUGUGGGGCUAGGACCCCUUGGUCUUCAGGGGAGGAACCUCUGCAGCCAAGGUAUCCCUCCUGAAUUUUGAUGGUUACAUGUGGGUGUGGGACCAUCCCAUCCCACAUCUCUGCCCCUCAUGCCAGUCUUGAGGUGGCUACUUCUCUA